ACCGCAACCGGAUUCCGGAAGCCU
rnacentral:siRNA from 1 species